GUCACUGUGGCCGAGUGGUUAAGGCGAUUGACUAGAAAUUACUAACUGGGGCCGGAAAAGUUCGAAUCCUGUCGGUGACG